GUAUCAUUUAANNGCCGAAUGUCGUCGGCGUGCACUUCUCCCCUAGUAGGACGUCGCGACCCGUUGGGUGUCGGUCUACGCCCCAGAUGGUAGUCUUUGAUGUUAGCCGCAAGGUAUUAUAUUGAAGACCRCUGGUGUUUUCUGGCCGGCUGCCCGGCGGUAUACGCACGGUAUUAAGCCGCUAUUAUGCGUCAAACUCGCCACAAGCGCGGUCAGUGUUUUGGUAUACGGACUUUGUGCCGUCGCUAAGCCUGAUCAGCUGUUAGUUGURCGAUGUUCUUUGACUGGCUUGRAAUAUUACCGGUCGGCGACGCUACUGCUUUGGGUACUUUCAGGACCCGUCUUGAAACACGGACCAAGGAGUCUAACAUGUACGCAAGUCAUUGGGAUUUAUUUUUUAAUGAAAACCUAAAGGCGUAAUGAAAGUAAAGAUUGUCCUUGCGACAAUUGAGGGAGGAUGAGUUGCGUUACGAUGCUACUCCGCACUCCCGGGGCGUCUCGUUC
rnacentral:rRNA from 1 species